rnacentral:rRNA from 1 species
GUGGGGAAUAUUGGACAAUGGGCGAAAGCCUGAUCCAGCCAUGCCGCGUGUGUGAAGAAGGUCUUCGGAUUGUAAAGCACUUUAAGUUGGGAGGAAGGGUAGUAACCUAAUACGUUGCUACUUUGACGUUACCGACAGAAUAAGCACCGGCUAACUUCGUGCCAGCAGCCGCGGUAAUACGAAGGGUGCAAGCGUUAAUCGGAAUUACUGGGCGUAAAGCGCGCGUAGGUGGUUCAGUAAGUUGGAAGUGAAAUCCCCGGGCUCAACCUGGGAACUGCUUUCAAAACUGCUGAGCUAGAGUACGGUAGAGGGUGGUGGAAUUUCCUGUGUAGCGGUGAAAUGCGUAGAUAUAGGAAGGAACACCAGUGGCGAAGGCGACCACCUGGACUGAUACUGACACUGAGGUGCGAAAGCGAGGGGAGCAAAAGGGAUUAGAUACCCGUGUAGUCC